ACUACGGGAGGCUGCAGUGGGGGAUAUUGCACAAUGGGGGGAACCCUGAUGCAGCGACGCCGCGUGGGUGAAGAAGCGCCUCGGCGCGUAAAGCCCUGUCAGCAGGGAAGAAAAUGACGGUACCUGAAGAAGAAGCCCCGGCUAACUACGUGCCAGCAGCCGCGGUAAUACGUAGGGGGCAAGCGUUAUCCGGAUUUACUGGGUGUAAAGGGGGCGCAGACGGCGAUGCAAGCCAGGAGUGAAAGCCCGGGGCCCAACCCCGGGACUGCUCUUGGAACUGCGUGGCUGGAGUGCAGGAGGGGCAGGCGGAAUUCCUGGUGUAGCGGUGAAAUGCGUAGAUAUCAGGAGGAACACCGGGGGCGAAGGCGGCCUGCUGGACUGCAACUGACGUUGAGGCCCGAAAGCGUGGGGAGCAAACAGGAUUAGAUACCCCUGUAGUC
rnacentral:rRNA from 1 species